AUACCGUGCUGUGGACAUUUCCUGAGUAGUCCCUUGAACCUUUCCCAUGCUUCUUAUAAAGAUUCACUUUCUUUUUGUUCAAAAGAAGUGAUAUCCGCCUUGAGCUU